rnacentral:rRNA from 1 species
CAGUCGCCGCGGUAAUACGUAGGUGGCAAGCGUUGUCCGGAAUUAUUGGGCGUAAAGGGCUCGCAGGCGGUUUCUUAAGUCUGAUGUGAAAGCCCCCGGCUCAACCGGGGAGGGUCAUUGGAAACUGGGAAACUUGAGUGCGGAAGAGGAGAGUGGAAUUCCACGUGUAGCGGUGAAAUGCGUAGAGAUGUGGAGGAACACCAGUGGCGAAGGCGACUCUCUGGUCUGUAACUGACGCUGAGGAGCGAAAGCGUGGGGAGCGAACAGGAUUAGAUACCCGAGUAGUCCCUGUCUCUUAUAA